AUUGAAUGAGCUUAUCCACUGUGGGAAAGAUGUAGAAUGAGGAGGCCGGUGACAAAACCCUGGGAAUAUGAACAUUUCCUAGAGGAAAAAGGGUUAGUAAAGAAGACUUAGCAGUGGCUAAAGAAAAAAGGAGAGAAAGUGAUGCUGCAAAAUUUUGUUUUAAAUGAGAAUUUCGAGGAGGGAGCAUCAAUUCUGAUAAGUGCAAUAACUACAAAGUAAAUUGGAUUAACCUUUUGAAAGCUCUCUCGUGCUACUUUUUUCGAAAGAAAAAUUUUAGAGUCACAAGAUCUAUUAUUUAUGAUUGGUACUUUUGGAGUUCCAGCAUGGAAGAAUGCACCUACUGAGAUCUUACUUAACUUUUUUAAUAACUGCAGCAGCUACCUUCACAAGGUUUUCUGGCAAACAAACUAUUGAUUAUUUAUUGCCUACAUCAGAUUAUGAAGACAUUGAUUCUGAUAUCAAGGAUGGAGCAAUUAAGCCAGCAAAUGGACAAAGACAAAAUGAUACUGGUGUUAUUGCAAGUGCCCCACAAGAAUACACAAAUAAUGACAGUUUAAUUUUGGUUCACAAAAACAACAGAAGUGAUACAACACCCACAUCAGGAUCCGGACAAGACAGAAAUAUGGAAUCACUUUUGGAUUCUGAGGAUGGAGCAGCUAAGCCAGCAAAUGGAAAAAGACAAAAUGGUACUGAUAUUAUUGAACGCGCCCCAUGAGAGCACACAAAUAGUAACAAUUUAAUUUACUGAAUGUCUCUGAUAAUUUUUUAAUGCUUAAAUGCUAUUUUAAAAAAACUUACUUAAAUAUGUAGACCCAGAUAUAAAAUCCAUUUCUUCUGGAUUUUUUCAUGCCUUUCUUCACGGUGCCGACUUCGUUUUCAUAAAUCUGCUCCAACCCUCUGAAUUUCUUUGUCGCUCCUUCAGUUUAUUGAAAUAUUUAUAAAUGGAUAUUUGCAUAUGUAUUUAAAAUUCAGAGCGAUAAAUGUUCUCUCAUGAAUGUAUCUGUGAAUAACAUCUUAUGACAUUUUACAGCUGCAGUGUCCUCAUCAGGCUCAGGACAAGAGGGCAAUGUAGAAUCACUUUUGGAUAUGAAGUAUUAGCUGUUGUUUUUUGUUGUUAUAUUAAAAAAUAAAACCAUUCUGUGAUGUUAAAUCAUAA
rnacentral:lncRNA from 1 species